UACGAAGGGUGCAAACGUUGCUCGGAAUCAUUGGGCGUAAAGCGCACGUAGGCGGCUUGCCAAGUCGGACGUGAAAUCCCUCGGCUCAACUGAGGAACUGCCUUUGAAACUGUUCGGCUUGAGGCCGGGAGGGGGUAGCGGAAUUCCCAGUGUAGCGGUGAAAUGCGUAGAUAUUGGGAGGAACACCAGUGGCGAAGGCGGCUACCUGGACCGGUUCUGACACUGAGGCGCGAAAGCGUGGGUAGCAAACAGG
rnacentral:rRNA from 1 species